CUGCAAGCCUCCAGCAUGCUGGGGUCUGGGGUGGUCCUGUGCAUCCCUGCCGUGCUUGCGAGAACAUUGUGGAACUGUUUGAGGCCUUGCUCUGCUGCGUCUGGAGCAAGGUUAUAGAAGUUUCAGACAUUG
rfam:Myotis davidii contig149195, whole genome shotgun sequence.